rfam:Myotis brandtii contig298582, whole genome shotgun sequence.
GGCAGUUCUUGGGUGACACACCCCAGAAUCGGGCUCUCUCCUCUCUGGUUCCGGGUGCGGCACCCAAGAACCACA